rnacentral:rRNA from 1 species
UGAUCAUGGCUCAGACGAACGCUGGCGGCGUGCCUAAUACAUGCAAGUCGAGCGAACAGAAGGGAGCUUGCUCCCGGAUGUUAGCGGCGGACGGGUGAGUAACACGUGGGUAACCUGCCUGUAAGACUGGGAUAACUCCGGGAAACCGGAGCUAAUACCGGAUAGUUCCUUGAACCGCAUGGUUCAAGGAUGAAAGACGGUUUCGGCUGUCACUUACAGAUGGACCCGCGGCGCAUUAGCUAGUUGGUGGGGUAAUGGCUCACCAAGGCGACGAUGCGUAGCCGACCUGAGAGGGUGAUCGGCCACACUGGGACUGAGACACGGCCCAGACUCCUACGGGAGGCAGCAGUAGGGAAUCUUCCGCAAUGGACGAAAGUCUGACGGAGCAACGCCGCGUGAGUGAUGAAGGUUUUCGGAUCGUAAAGCUCUGUUGUUAGGGAAGAACAAGUGCGAGAGUAACUGCUCGCACCUUGACGGUACCUAACCAGAAAGCCACGGCUAACUACGUGCCAGCAGCCGCGGUAAUACGUAGGUGGCAAGCGUUGUCCGGAAUUAUUGGGCGUAAAGGGCUCGCAGGCGGUUUCUUAAGUCUGAUGUGAAAGCCCCCGGCUCAACCGGGGAGGGUCAUUGGAAACUGGGAAACUUGAGUGCAGAAGAGGAGAGUGGAAUUCCACGUGUAGCGG